CAGAAAAGGUUGGGAAAGUGACUGUUGAUUGGUGGUGCUAGGGAAUUCUUCAUCAGUCAGUAACACCAUGGGCAGCUUUGGGGACUUCCAAAAUGUUGGCAAACACAGCUCCAGCUGGCAUGGGGACUGUUGCUUCUCCAUGAGCAGAAUAGCAAAGUCUAUGAAUCCAUUGUGAACAGCUGCACUUACAUUUGUGUUUGCUGUAAAACAAAACUAGGGGAAACUGUUUUGUCUUUGCCAUUUCUGUUCCUUUCAGCAAACAACAAAAAAGCCAAAUAAAACCAACCACACAACCAAAUGAGAAAAUCCCCAAAAUCCCAACAAGCAGUCUCUAGAGCUCUAGUGCUAAGAAAUACAUUAGAAAGCUGGGAGAAUCCAAAUUUAAAUGUUUCAUCUUCUGUACUUAUUGGAGAGAAUUUUUACCAUAGGAACAUACAGCAUGAAAACUUGUAACAGGGUGGGAGGAUGAGAUUUGGAGAAACUGGAGCUGGAACUUAAGGCAAUAUUCAGGCAGUGAUUAUGCAAUUGUUGCAUAACAUGGAGAGUGCUUGCAUGAAUAAUCCUAUUAACAUUAGAGUUUCACAAUCAGGUAAUUGAACACUGCACUGUUCAAAAUCAUCUGUAUUUAAUGGUGGAAAAAUCAGCAAAAUCACUAUUAAUAAAACAAUGAUCUCAUUAAAUAUAGUCUUUCUCAGGGGGGGAUAAGAGUGGAAGAACAUCAGAGGAAAGAAUGGAGGAAAACAUUUUCUCAGCUUAGAUAUAGUAGUAAGGCUUUGUUUUAAUGGUUUCCUUUGAGAAAGAGAAAUGAUGGGGAAAAGGUAUAGAUUACUACCAUGGGCUAUUGGUAAUUUAUUUGUUGUGGCUGAGAAGAGCUGUGAACACUGGGAUUGACAAAAUUGAAAGGAAAGGGAAAAAAAUUAGACUAGUCACCCAAAUAAUUUGCAAGUUUCUGUUUGUAUCUAGAAAGUGCCAGAGCCAGCAGAGGUGGAAGGAUUCAUCCCAAACAUCUGACAAUGGUUUAUACUAAUGAAGUAUAAACUGGAGCAGCAGGUGCAGCUGCCCCUGCCUCCGCCUCCCAAGUUAUAAGGCCCCCAUGACUAAGAAAAGGCAUCUAUUCCCUGGCUCUCACAGCCCCCAUCGGGUGGGGAGCCCAGGCUGCUGUGGGGGCUGCUCCUUCACCUGCUGAAGGUGAGGGCUAAGAACUUCCUCUGUGAGCUAGUGGGCAGCAGCAGCAGCAUGCAUGAGCGAACUGUAGCACUUGCGUCAAGGCUGGAAAAGCUGCUGCACCUCUCUAAGCUGUUUUUGUGCUCCCGGUGUGAGAACACACACAUUGAGCCUGUGUCCAUGCCAAAGGUGAUCCCAGGCAAGGCUUGGGCUGUGAGUGGGUGAGAGUUGUGUUCCCUCUGCAAGAUUCACGUGCCACCUCCUGCAACUUUGCCAGCUACAAAGCAGCCACUCGUGUCUAAAGAACCUCUGCACAAACAUAUAGGCAGCAGCAGCAACUCUGGUGCCAGGUGCUUGGAAAACAAGUCAUGAAAUAUCUGAUAUAUGAAGUCUAAGCUACAUGCCAAAGCAGAAAUUAACCUCUGUUAGGCUGCCUUCCUCCUCCCCUCCCAGAAGUUUUAAGGCUACAGAAAAUCAGUGGGUCUAUAAAGAUGCAUCUCCAGGCACCAGGAACACGGCAGUGACAGCUGAAAUUUAACCUGUGUUAAUGUUGCCAGAAAGAAUUUGACUAUUAGGUUCUUAUAGCUAAAGAAUUUAUAUAGUCAUCUAUGCAAAAAGACUGAGAAAACGUGUAGCUGCUUGAGGAAAGUAAUCUGCUUUUAUCUCAUGCCACAAUAUUUGAAAAAGCAAAUCCAGUGCCUUAAACACCAAUUGCUGCAGAAAACUGGAGCCUUUCAAAACUAAUAUCCUUCUAGCUGGAUUUAUUCAUCAGCUUUAUAAGUCUUUUGACAUGACAAAACUUAUGACCAUUUUCAGGCCAAAUAGAACUGAUAUUAGGAAGAAAAAUAAUAUUUUUACUGUUGUCCCUAGGUGACAAUCCACAAUUGGUCUGGAGGAUAACUGUGAGGCAGCCUUCCCUAUUCCAGUUUCUCUUAUCCUGUAUAGAGCAGUCAUCUACCAGUCUUCCAUGGUUGUUGCUUUCUUGGAUAUAUUUAAUAGAUUUGAAAGUGGUAAUAGUCUUGAAGUUUUAUUUCUAUGGGAAGAUACAUCUAGAGAAUGUAUGGAAGUCACAGGGUUUU